rnacentral:rRNA from 1 species
UACGUAGGGUGCAAGCGUUGUUCGGAUUCACUGGGCGUAAAGGGCACGUAGGCGGCUCGGCAAAUCGGUCGUGGAAUCUCGACGCUUACCGUCGAAACGGCGGCCGAAAAUACCGGGCUCGAGGGCGUGAGGGGUCACUGGAACUCCUGGUGAAGCGGUGAAAUGCGUAGAUAUCUGGAGGAACACCGGUGGCGAAGGCGGCAUCCUGGACCGAUACUGACGCUGAGGAGCGAAAGCCAGGGGAGCAAAGCGGG